GGGGUUGUGGCUCCGUGGUAGAGCGCUCGCCUAGCUCGUGGGAGGCCCUGGGCUUGAUCCCAGCACCACA
rnacentral:tRNA from 1 species